rnacentral:rRNA from 1 species
GGGCCCGCACAAGUGGUGGAGCAUGUGGUUUAAUUCGAAGCAACGCGCAGAACCUUACAAACCCUUGACAUAGAUAUCGCAGAUGCCAGAGAUGGCGUCCUUCAGUUCGGCUGGAUAUCAUACAGGUGCUGCAUGGCUGUCGUCAGCUCGUGUCGUGAGAUGUUGGUUAAGUCCCGCAACGAGCGCAACCCUCGUCUUUAGUUACCAUCAGGUUUGGCUGGGUACUCUAGAGAGACUGCCGGUGAUAAACCGGAGGAAGGUGGGGAUGACGUCAAGUCCUCAUGGCCCUUAUGGGUUGGGCUACACACGUGCUACAAUGGCGGUGACAGUGAGCAGCGACGGGGCGACCCUGAGCU